UUGAAAAGCUCUCUCUGCCUGAGAAGCAUCUGAUGCGUCUGCUGAGAGUUCUUUGGCU
rnacentral:miRNA from 1 species